GAUGAACGCUGGCGGCGUGCCUAAUACAUGCAAGUCGAGCGAACAGAUGAGGAGCUUGCUCCUCUGACGUUAGCGGCGGACGGGUGAGUAACACGUGGAUAACCUACCUAUAAGACUGGGAUAACUUCGGGAAACCGGAGCUAAUACCGGAUAAUAUAUUGAACCGCAUGGUUCAAUAGUGAAAGACGGUUUUGCUGUCACUUAUAGAUGGAUCCGCGCCGCAUUAGCUAGUUGGUAAGGUAACGGCUUACCAAGGCAACGAUGCGUAGCCGACCUGAGAGGUGGAUCGCCAACCUGGAACCUAGGCAACGGUCCAGCCCCUUACGGGAGGCGGCAGAGGGAAUUCUUCCGCACUGGCGAAAGCCUGACGGAGCAACGCCGCGUGAGUGAUGAAGGUCUUCGGAUCGUAAAACUCUGUUAUUAGGGAAGAACAAAUGUGUAAGUAACUAUGCACGUCUUGACGGUACCUAAUCAGAAAGCCACGGCUAACUACGUG
rnacentral:rRNA from 1 species